UUUAAAAAUGACACCAGACUAUAAAAAAGCUGCAAAAAUGAAAUUCUUACAUACCUUUCUUUCUACUUCCACAAAUAUAAACAUCUUAUAUAAUCAUAAUACAAUUUCACAACUGGGAUAUUAAAUGUGGUAUGAUACUGUCAACUGAUUCAAAGACUUAAUUCAAAUGUUGCCAGUUGAUCCACAAAUGUCUUUUUCCUGGUCUAGGAUGCAGUGCAGGAUCACACCAUUUGUUUUCAUGUCUACACCAUCUCCUUUAAUGGUGACAGUUUCUCAGUUUUUUUGUCCUUCAUGAAGCUGACAUUUUUAAUCACAUUGGUUCCUUAUUUUGUAGAGUAUUCUUCAUUUGCAACCCAUUCUUUUCCAAGCUUAAGCAACCAAGCAUGGUGAUUCUCCCAGCAAAUUAGUGGCAAGCAACUGGUAUGCUAACAGAAGACUGCUAACUGUAUGGUACGUUCAUCCCACGAUUUCAGAAGGCUUGUCUUCUGCUGGAAGGGUGAGGACUGACUGAUACAAGUAAACCAGUGCAUUUAUGCAUCAGUUACCAAAUAGAUGCAAUAAAUGUAUGUCCUUAAUAGAUUAUUAAUUUCCUAUGGAGUUCUUGGGCUUUGUGUAGGCCCUGAGACGGCAGUGGCAUGCAAGAACUAAAAUGGCCGCAAGUGCACACUCUGAGCAUCUUUUUGGUUUUAACCCCAUCCUCAUCCCCAGGAUUUUGUAGUGUUUUGGAGAAUGAGGAAGUGCACAAGCCCACAAAACAUUUAGAGUACGUCUAGAAGCCAGUACUCUUUCAAAAAGAAUUAGGUAAAAAGACUGGUUUUGAAUAGAAUGAGAGUUUGAGAUGGGCAGAAAAAGGGAGAGAAAUACGGUGAUUGAUGGAGAAAUCGUUAAAUAUAUAUCCCAUCACCAUUAUUGGAAAGAUAUAGAUUAUAGAUAGAAUAUAUCUAUAUUUACCUAUACACAUCUGUAGAUACCUAUAGCUGUACCUGAGACCGGUCUGUCUAUCACACACUUACAACCCAGCAUUCCCUCCUCUGCCCUUCCGGCGCCUCUCCCAGGCCGGGACACACUGCUUAUGCUCGGGGGAUGAUCACGGCGCCAGUGCACAGACCCUGGGGGCAGGAGUAGCAGCACUCAACCCCGCUCCUCCUAAAACCCUGCCGAGAGUCCUGGCGGCGGCACAGGAAAUCUGGACUCUGCAGGGAGCGCAGGGGAGCAAAGAGGAGGCAGAGCGAGAGGGAGGGUCUCCGGCGUCAGUCGGGCUCCAGUCCGCGGCGGGGCGGAGCGGAGAGCGGAGCCCGGGCCCCCUUCGCUCCCACCCGCGCCCGGGUCCCCGCGACGCCCGCUCCGGCCCACGUGCGGUGCCCCGCUCCGCGCCCGCCCCCUGCGGCCCGACUCGGGAGGAGCUGGGGCCCUGAGCGCCGGUCUCCACACCGGCCAGCGGGAGCCCCGCGUCGCCACCGCGGCCCGGGACAGUCUGCAGUUCCGCGCUCCCGCGGCAGGGAAGUGGACGCCGGCGGCUCCCCAGCCGCGCUGAGCGCGCCCCUCACCCGCCCCGGGCGCCUGCGGCGGCGGCUCCCGCGUCCCCGGGGCCCCGGCCAGUAGCGGCGGGGACGGAGCCUCCGCUGCUCGCGUCCCUUCGCAGAGCGCCGCCAGCCCCGAGCGGACCGGGGAGCAGGGGUAGGGGCCCCGGGGACCUCGGGCAGCGGAGCGCGGGCCUCCGGAGCGAGAGUGAGGAGGUCCCCGGGCUUCCGGAACAGAGGCGCCGAGGCCGGCCGGCAGGACGCCGGCAGGGACCGGGAGCUCCGCCCAGACGGCCCCGUCGGUCGGGCCGCAGCAGCUGUGAAUUCCGUCUCCCCCAAGCGGUGCCUGUUUGACCAAGCCCAACCCUGAAAGAAACUUCCGAGUUAGCAGGAAGAAGUGGGGCACAGGCAUUCCACAUCCUUUGGACCCACCUGAUCUUCAGCUAAAAGCCAUAACUAAGCAGGACUAAUGAUUACAGUAACAUCUUCAUUAAAGAUGUUUUCUGAGCACCUAAUAUGUUCCAGGCACUGACCAAAGGUGUGUGCAUGAAGCUGUACAAAGGGUUACAAACUUUCAUAUGAGUCAGGAGAAGAUUAAUGUCAUCCAACGGCAAAACUGCUAGUAAAGUAAAGUGGCAGAGCAACAACAAUACCAGAGACUAAGAAGGAAAGGGCUACCCGGUGCCCCCUGUCCUCUGCGGUCCACUGGGUUUCCUUUCGCAGAAAUGUCACGCAUUUCCUCAGGAGCCACACAGCUGUGAGCACAGCAGUUUUUCCAGAACCAGAGGCAGCAGGUUUCUGCUUCCCUUAUGGCGGACCCAUGUUCUCACUCAGGAGCAAGCAUUUCUUCAUCCACACAGAAGUGCAUGGCCUCCCUUCCUGUUUCAACAGCUCCCACCCCAGGCUCAGAGCCAGUCAAGACAAGUAGGGAUGCUGCAUGGAGUGAGUCAGAGUGCCUCUCGGAGACCAAGGCUUUGGCCUGGACUGUGACUUCAGCUGUGACUCUUUCCUAACAAACCACGGCAUUGGAGGAAAUAAGAAGAUGCACCCUACAGAGUGUAAUAUCGUCACAAAGGCAAAGGUUGAGAGGAAGUUGCCAUUUUUCCUUCCUAUUUGCCACUCGAAGAUCUGUCUCCCUGAAUCCUUGUUGGAGUUAUUGGUCUCCUGGCUUUAUACUUAUACCCUGGUAUUUGAGUGCAUAUACUGGUGCUCACAGCGUUCGUUUGAAGAUAGUGGUUCUCCAGUUCUCUAGCUGUGUGAUUUGGAGCAUUCAGUUAAUCUCUUGGAGCCUCAAAUUCCUCAUCUGUAUGGUGUGAGUAGUGUGCCUUCCCUUCUUGCUUGGUCAGAUAAACUUUCACCUUUGUAAAUCUGCAACCUGCAUGUCCCAGAGCUGGGCAGGAGUCUUACAUGUUAUCUAAUACAGCUUUUGUCUGCACCUGAUGACUGGACCCUCACCAGCUUCCUGGACAAAUGACCCUCCAGCUUCAGACUGAGGUGUGACUGGCAGGGGAGCUGCCCUCUUCAGGAGCUCUGAUUAGAAAGUUCUUUCUUGGAUGGGCUGAGAUCUGAACCUCCCAGUAACCUUUACCUGCUGGGUUCUGUUUCAUCUCUGGAUCUAACAAUACACUUAAUCUCAAAGGUGUUCUGUAUGUUGAAGAUGACUGCAAAAAUACCGUCGCAAUUUUUUUAACUGGCCGUCAUCUUUUCAGCCCCUGUGGGAUUCUGGUUUGGAUGGACUGCAUGAAACAGGACAUGGUGCCAGGCAUUCCUGAAUGUUCUUAAGGGUCCUUGUGACAUCAGUUAUAAAACCUUCUCUGAUGAUCCCUGGAGGCAGGUGUGAUUGUUACUAAUGGUAGGUGUCCCCACACAUAGUGGCUAUGUGCAAAUCCUAGAGCCAUAAUUGGAAAAGAGUAUUUCUUAACAUGCUUUAAAUUAUUUAACUUGGAGGUAAUUUCCUUCUAUAUCACCUUGAGUCAUUUGUUAUCCUGAAAAAUAAUAGAUAUAUCAAAUUUUAGUAGAAAAAGAAACCUAGAAAAAAGAUCUAAAGAAUAAAAUGAAAGCAUUUGUAACCAAUGUAUUUGUAAAAAAUAAAAUUAUAUUUUUAUACCUUG